rnacentral:lncRNA from 1 species
AUCCGCGCUGGCUGGGCGUUCACAGGGGCGCAACAGCCGCAACGCCAUCCAAUUAUUGCCGGUCGUCCCCUCCAACACCGCUCUCCACCUAUAUACUCCUUUCUCUGCCCAUCGCCGCUUCCCCCCACCCACUUUUCUCUGGAGCGGACCGACCUACCUACUCCAGCUCAGCCCGUCUCCGCUUCCCCCCACCCACUUUCCUCCGAGCGGACGGAGCCGAGGGGGCGGGGGCUCCCUCCCGGGAGUGUUUCUAGAGCUCCGAGGCAGCUAGUAGGGGUUUCAUUGUCCGCAUGUUUAAAGUCUAAUAGAAAAAAAAAAUCUCUGGAUAUGAAGUUGGGAGAUAGAUCCAAGUCUACAUCUACGUCCUCAUGUUGGUGACCUUGGGGCACCACUUUCAGAUAAAAACAUAGACCUGAAUGGCAUCAUCCAGUAUCCAAGGAAACCAUGUAAGUACCUCUCUCACUGUGUACUUCUCUUAUUCAGAGUUUAAAAGCUAGCUGAGUACUGAAUAAGUGAGUGUUUUUAUUUAAUAAUUAUACGGGAGGUACUUUUUAGGAGCUUGCUAAAAAGAAACAGGUUCUUGAUUGUUAUGUGCGUCAUAACAAAACCCUUAUGUUUUUCAUCAUGUUUCAUAAAAUUAUGUGUUUAGUCGCAAUCUCUCCAUCAAUUCUCAUUCUUAGGUACAAAACAGCUACUCAAAGUCAUAAUGAAUUGAGAGUUUCAAACUUUUCCAAGACCCAUUAGUGUCUGAGAAACAAUGUUUCAGAGGCCUUGUGCCAGGAGUAGUGACCUAAUUGUAAUAAACACUUUUUAAAUUUUACA